rnacentral:lncRNA from 1 species
CAACAUAGAGAAAUCCCUGCUAAUGGCCUAAUUCCAUUCCUAGAAACUCCAGAUGCUCCUAAUCGACCAGAAAACCUUAAUUGUGUUAUAUGUUUAGUUGCACCCUAAAUCUGGGUGCCAAGAUUCUGAUGUCACCAAAAAGCCUCGAUACCAUGAACAGUCAGCACUAUAAACUGUGCACCUGAGGAGGGGCAAGGUCCCUGGGGAAGUAUUUCUCUUCCGUGGGGGCAGGACUCUGAAAGUAUGCAGAGAACUCGUGCAGGUCACAUGAUCUCCCCAAAUGCAUCUGUGAUGGGUAUGGCAGGACAAGAACUCCUUAGCUCUGAGGGAAAUCCAACUUAUUUGCGUAAGUGAAUGUUCUCAGUUGGAACCUGCGUCAUCACACAGGCCUGUUGGAUGGUCCCAACAUGUAUGUGAGUGAACGUUCUCAGUCAGAACCUGCCUCAUCCAUCAGGCAGGCCUGUUGGAUGGUCUGUGUCAUUGAUCAUACAUCUGUUUCAGUCAAGUUGAGUCAUGACCUGAGCUUCAAUUGAUGUAGUUAUCCGGGUACUUUUUCCCCCACACAUUCCUUGAGCAUCAUCUCUCUGAAAACUCAAUGUUGCACCUACUAACUUGACGUUGACUAAAUGAGCAAUUCUGUGCCCAUUAGUUUCUUUCACAGUAUGGAGGAGCAAAACCAGGACCUCGCACAGGCUAGGCAAGAACUGCUCUGCUGAGCUCCACUUCCAGCGCUGUGUGCAUUAACUUUGAAAUGCAUUUCUGGUGAGGCAAAUAACACCUUGAAAGCCCAGAUCUGAGGAGCACUGGCUUUUUAAAUGUUUAAUGUAUGUUCGAUCAAUUAAAAUUGAACGUCAUUACCUGACUCAGAUAUCUAUGUUAUUGGAAGGGCAAGGAGUUUUGCAUUUCAAAUUUUAAAAUGUUUUCCAUUGUCCUUACUUGACUAAAACCCCAUAGUUGACUUGGAUUCCAUCAGCGUUUUGAGCAGUGCAGUUUUAGGCAAACGAUUUUAAAAACUACCCUCCUUCUAUUCACAUCUUGCUGUAGUUAGGUGUGAUUAAUUACAGACAAACUUUGUUUAUUGUUUGUUUCUCCCAAAAUCUUAUGCUUCUGUUGAACUUCACAACCUGUGUGGGGACCAUCACACUUAAUGGGAGGGUACAAAUGCGCUCAGAAAGUAAACAGUGGGCCUUAAAUG